GUGCCAGCAGCCGCGGUAAUACGGGGGUGGCAAGCGUUGUUCGGAAUUAUUGGGCGUAAAGGGCGCGUAGGCGGCUUUGCAAGUCAGAUGUGAAAGCCCCGGGCUUAACUCGGGAAUUGCAUCUGAAACUGCUUUGCUUGAGUUCUGGAGGGGGUAGUGGAAUUCCCAGUGUAGCGGUGAAAUGCGUAGAUAUUGGGAGGAACACCUGCGGCGAAGGCGGCUACCUGGACAGUAACUGACGCUGAUGCGCGAAAGCUAGGGGAGCGAACGGGAUUAGAUACCCCAGUAGUCC
rnacentral:rRNA from 1 species